ACUCCUACGGGAGGCAGCAGUGGGGAAUCUUGGACAAUGGGCGCAAGCCUGAUCCAGCCAUGCCGCGUGAGUGAUGAAGGCCCUAGGGUCGUAAAGCUCUUUCGCCAGGGAUGAUAAUGACAGUACCUGGUAAAGAAACCCCGGCUAACUCCGUGCCAGCAGCCGCGGUAAUACGGAGGGGUUAGCGUUGUUCGGAAUUACUGGGGCGUAAAGCGCGCGUAGGCGGAUUAGUCAGUUAGAGGUGAAAUCCCGGGGCUCAACCCGGAACUGCCUUUAAUACUGCUAGUCUUGAGUUCGAGAGAGGUGAGUGGAAUUCCGAGUGUAGAGGUGAAAUUCGUAGAUAUUCGGAGGAACACCAGUGGCGAAGGCGGCUCACUGGCUCGAUACUGACGCUGAGGUGCGAAAGUGUGGGGAGCAAACAGGAUUAGAUACCCUGGUAGGAUAGCG
rnacentral:rRNA from 1 species